rnacentral:rRNA from 1 species
AUUGAACGCUGGCGGCAGGCCUAACACAUGCAAGUCGAACGAGUGGCGGACGGGUGGGUAAUGGCUGGGCAACUGCCUGAUGGACGGGGAUAACUACUGGAAACGGUAGCUAAUACCGCAUAACAUAGGCUGUGCCCUGAUGGGAUUGGCUAGGAGGUGGGGUAAAGGCUCACGUAGGCGACGGUCCCUAGCUGGUCUGAGAGGAUGACCAGCCACACUGGAACUGAGAGACGGUCCAGACUCCUACGGGAGGCAGCAGUGGGGAAUAUUGGACAAUGGGCGCAAGCCUGAUGCAGCCAUGCCGCGUGUAUGAAGAAGGCCUUCGGGUUGUAAAGUACUUUCAGCGGGGAGGCGUUACCCGCAGAAGAAGCACCGGCUAACUCCGUGCCAGCAGCCGCGGUAAUAC